AACCCUGAUCCAGCCAUCCCGCGUGUGCGAUGAAGGCCUUCGGGUUGUAAAGCACUUUUGGCAGGAAAGAAACGUCGUGGGUUAAUACCCCGCGAAACUGACGGUACCUGCAGAAUAAGCACCGGCUAACUACGUGCCAGCAGCCGCGGUAAUA
rnacentral:rRNA from 1 species